rnacentral:tRNA from 1 species
UGUAGGGUGGUGAAAUUGGCAGACACACCUCCUUGUCUCGGUGGCGGAGAGUUCGGAAAAUCAAGCUUUGCUUGGCUAACCGCUCCGUGAAGGUUCGACUCCUUCCCCUACAG